UGCAUUGGCACCUCAUACCCACUGUUUGCGUUGAUAUACGUAUUGAUUUGUACUUCAUUGAUUUCCAAGUAUAAUAUAUAACAAAUCACAAGGGUAACAUCCAGGCAGAAGUUAAGCAAUUUUUCUGAAAAUAAUAUACUAUCAAAGUUUAGACUGGAAUUUUUAAUUUCGACCUAGACCUUGGGAAAAUUGUGGCUCCAAUUAAAACUGGAGAAAAAGUAAGAACCUUCCAUGCAAAAAUUCAAUUGUUAUCUAAUUGGGACCAUGGUGUUCUCGGCAGAUUUGCAAGGUGAACAAAGGAAACAAACUAAAGCCAUGGAAGAAAGGAAAUAAAUAAUGUUAACAAAACUUAACAAAUAUAUGGAAGGCUCGUCUAACACCAAGAAGCCGAACUGGAGACACGAAACACCUAAGAAUUGAUACAGUUUGUGUAGGAGUGGGCAGGUCUGAUUUGAUCCGGAAUCGAACCGAAUACAAUGGAAAUCUUAAAAACGGAACCACUGGUUCGACAUACAACUAUAAAACCGAACCAAUAAGUUCAAACUCGGUCUAGUUCUUUAUUAUAAAAAUAAACUAUGAAACUACUUAUCAAUUAAGAAAAAAGUCAAAAAUAAAGUAUGAAACCACUUUGUUAUUCUUUAAUUCUAACAACACAAAAAAAUCAAUUGAACAGGGCAACGAACAAAAAAUCAAUCAGCUCAUAAAGUGGAAAAAGCUAAAUUAUUAAACACAGCAUAAAUAGUAAAAUCUCGAUGGAAAAUUGGUUUUUAAGAAAAUUUUAUAACAAUAACCUAAUUAUCUUUAAUCUUCUAGGAUCUUGAUUCUUGAUGGCCGGUUACUUUGGAAACAACAAAAAAUUUGAAUUCUUAUGAAAUAUUGAACCAAAAAUAUAUUUUCUUAUUGCGUUGCAUUAAAGUUAUGAAUUUGUAAAUUAUUUAUAAA
rnacentral:lncRNA from 1 species